rnacentral:rRNA from 1 species
AUUGAACGCUGGCGGCAGGCUUAACACAUGCAAGUCGAACGAGUGGCGGACGGGUGAGUAAUGCUUGGGAAUCUAGCUUAUGGAGGGGGAUAACUACGGGAAACUGUAGCUAAUACCGCGUACCAUAGGAUGAGCCCAAGGGGGAUUAGGUAGUUGGUGAGGUAAAGGCUCAACAAGGCGACGAUCUCUAGCUGGUCUGAGAGGAUGACCAGCCACACUGGGACUGAGACACGGCCCAGACUCCUACGGGAGGCAGCAGUGGGGAAUAUUGCGCAAUGGGGGCAACCUGACGCAGCCAUGCCGCGUGAAUGAAGAAGGCCUUCGGGUGGUAAAGUUCUUUCGGUGGCGAGGCGUUAAUCACAGAAGAAGCACCGGCUAACUCCGUGCCAGCAGCCGCGGUAAUAC